GCAAAACUCCUCUCUCUCUUGUUCGAAUGUCUGAAAGGUUCUCUUAAGUCUUUCUAACUUUCUCUUUGUUGAUGGUGAUUUGCAAGGAAGCUGAAGAAAAUAAAGCAUGUACUCACAAGAAAAGAAGGAGAAGAAGAAGAAGAAAACAACAAUAUACGAGGUUUGGCUAAAAGUGCCUACAUCCAUGGGAGGGAGACGAUUUAUUCACAUUUAAUGCUACAAGAUAUGAUUUCUCUUCUUUUAUAGAUCUCACUUUCUCAUAGAUUAUACAUGAUUUGAUUUUAUACUUAGAGCUAUUUAUAUGCAAUGAUCUAAUUUAAUAGUUGUUGAGAAACUAUUUCUGGUAAAUGUAGCCGUUGAGAUCAAACAUCUUCAAAUCUCCACCUUGAUCACAAUGUAUGUAGUCUUCUCCUUCUAAUUUUGACUUUAUAUCAUCCCUUUUUAGGUAAAUUGAAGCCAAUUAGCUCUAAGCACUCGAGAAGCUUGAGUUUUGACACAGGCUUCGUGAGCAUCUCUACUGCAUUCUCAGAGGCUCUGAUACCAAUCUAUUAAGCUUGAAGGGCCCAAACUAGGCCCAAAAUUGAGACUAAUGCAAGGGAAUGAGUUAUGGCUUGGAAGAAGUGGCUAUAAAGAAGCAACAUAGCUGGUGAAAAGACAAACGAAGCUCUAUCCCCUUUUUCUUCCUUUAUCCUUAUUGGUGGAAUUCUAUUAUGAUCAGAAAGGCAGCUUUUAUUCCAGGGAGAGCCAUUACUGAUAACAUUAUUCUUGGACAUGAAUGUCUACCUUUCUUGAAGAAAAAGAAACAAAGAAAGGAAGGUUUUGCUGCAUUAAAGCUAGAUCUCAGUAAAGCAUAUGAUAGAAUGGAAUGGACAUUUCUUCAGAACAUAAUGCUUAAACUUGGUUUUAACCCUAGAUGGGUUUCUCUAAUUAUGGAUUGCAUUACAACGCCAACCUUAUCUAUUCAAAUCAAUGGUGAAACCAAAGGGAGAAUCAUUCCAUCAAGAGGACUCAGACAAGGGGAUCAUUUAUCUCCAUAUAUGUUUUUAUUUGUUGCAGGACUUUCAUCUUUAUUACAGAAUGCCAUAUCAAGAGAUGCUCUUUCAGGUUUUCGUUUAUCUAACACUUGUCCUACCAUUUCACAUCUAUUAUUCGUGGAUGACAGCAUGAUAUUUUGUAAAUAAAAUGUGGAAGAAUUGAUGAAUCUCAAACAUAUCCUAUCUAUUU